UACGUAGGGGGGCAAGCGUUGUUCGGAUUCAUUGGGCGUAAAGGGUGCGUAGGCGGCGCGGUAAGUCGGGUGUGAAAUCUCGGAGCUUAACUCCGAAACUGCAUUCGAUACUGCCGUGCUUGAGGACUGGAGAGGAGACUGGAAUUUACGGUGUAGCGGUGAAAUGCGUAGAUAUCGUAAGGAAGACCAGUGGCGAAGGCGGGUCUCUGGACAGUUCCUGACGCUGAGGCACGAAGGUCAGGGGAGCAAACGGG
rnacentral:rRNA from 1 species